rnacentral:lncRNA from 10 species
GGGAAGAAGAUAGAAAGGCAUUUUUUGCUGGACCACUUAGGGGGAAACUGAUGUAUAGGAAACUGGACACGAGCCACCACGCCUGGCCGACUCAUUGAUAUUUUUAAGCACUAUUUGACUUUUUUAACUUUCGUGGUGCACACUGCGAUGGACAUGCUAAAGCCACACCCCUCUCCCAGCCCACCCAAAAUAGCAGUAAUGAGGCUGAGUAAUUAGCCUCGGCUCAAGGGACAGGCUUGGCUGGUGCCCAGUGGCUGGCUCUGGAACAGGAGAGGCUUGCCCAGUCUUUGGGAAAGGUCUCUCCUGACACUAAAUCCAGGGUGAUCACUGCAGGAAGCCAGGUCCUCCCACCGUGCGGACAAGGGAGCAUGUAGCGCCCCACACUGCGGGCAGCCGUCCUAACACAGAGCUGAUGCUAUGGAUGAUGGGGCAGGGAGGCAGGAAGAACCUGAGACCUAAGGACAUCUUGGAACACCUGAACCUUUCAGACAGAAGACCGUCCUUGCUCUGGCUUCUGAUAUGUAAGCAUUAGAAUAUUUUCUGAGUGGGUGUGCCAGCCUGAGGAGGGCUUCCUCUUACACACAGCUUAAAGCGCCCGAAGA